rnacentral:rRNA from 1 species
UCAGGCGUCGAGCGGCGGACGGGUGAGUAAUACUUAGGAAUCUACCUAGUAGUGGGGGAUAGCACGGGGAAACUCGUAUUAAUACCGCAUACGACCUACGGGAGAAAGGGGGCAGUUUACUGCUCUCGCUAUUAGAUGAGCCUAAGUCGGAUUAGCUAGAUGGUGGGGUAAAGGCCUACCAUGGCGACGAUCUGUAGCUGGUCUGAGAGGAUGAUCAGCCACACCGGGACUGAGACACGGCCCGGACUCCUACGGGAGGCAGCAGUGGGGAAUAUUGGACAAUGGGGGCAACCCUGAUGGAGCAUCGCCGCGUGAAGGAUGAAGGCCUUAGGGUCGUAAACUUCUUUUAUUGGUGAAGAAUAUGACGGUAACCAAUGAAUAAGGGUCGGCUAACUACGUGCCAGCAGCCGCGGUCAUACGUAGGACCCAAGCGUUAUCCGGAGUGACUGGGCGUAAAGAGUUGCGUAGGCGGCUUAAUAAGUGGAUAGUGAAACCUGGUGGCUCAACCAUACA